rnacentral:tRNA from 1 species
GCGCCCGUAGCUCAUCUGGAUAGAGCAUCGGCCUUCUAAGCCGAGGGUAGCAGGUUCGACUAAAAUUGCUGGGAGCA